AGCGAACGCUGGCGGCAGGCUUAACACAUGCAAGUCGAGCGCCCCGCCAGGGGAGCGGCAGACGGGAGAGUAACACGUGGGAACAUACCUUUUGGUUCGGAACAACUGAGGGAAACUUCAGCUAAUACCGGAUAAGCCCUUACGGGGAAAGAUUUAUCGCCGAAAGAUUGGCCCGCGUCUGAUUAGCUAGUUGGUGAGGUAACGGCUCACCAAGGCGACGAUCAGUAACUGGUCUGAGAGGAUGAUCAGCCUCACUGGGACUGAGACACGGCCCAGACUCCUACGGGAGGCAGCAGUGGGGAAUAUUGGACAAUGGGGGCAACCCUGAUCCAGCCAUGCCGCGUGAGUGAUGAAGGCCUUAGGGUUGUAAAGCUCUUUUGCCCGGGAAGAUAAUGACGGUACCGGGAGAAUAAGCCCCGGCUAACUUCGUG
rnacentral:rRNA from 1 species